rnacentral:rRNA from 1 species
AACGAACGCUGGCGGCAGGCUUAACACAUGCAAGUCGAGCGCCCCGCAAGGGGAGCGGCAGACGGGUGAGUAACGCGUGGGAAUCUACCCUUCACUACGGAACAACUCCGGGAAACUGGAGCUAAUACCGUAUACGUCCUUCGGGAGAAAGAUUUAUCGGUGAUGGAUGAGCCCGCGUUGGAUUAGCUAGUUGGUGGGGUAAUGGCCUACCAAGGCGACGAUCCAUAGCUGGUCUGAGAGGAUGAUCAGCCACAUUGGGACUGAGACACGGCCCAAACUCCUACGGGAGGCAGCAGUGGGGAAUAUUGGACAAUGGGCGAAAGCCUGAUCCAGCCAUGCCGCGUGAGUGAUGAAGGCCCUAGGGUUGUAGAGCUCUUUCACCGGUGAAGAUAAUGACGGUAACCGGAGAAGAAGCCCCGGCUAACUUCGUGCCAGCAGCCGCCGUAA